rnacentral:lncRNA from 1 species
CAAAACUGAAAGCCUGGUCUCGCGUACGUCACCGACAUCUGUCCUCGAGUUGGAGUGAGACAGAUCUGUUACUCCGGCUAUGGCUUCUGUGGAUGGUGAUAAGCAAGAUGAAGAAGAAAAUGUGAAAAAUGAAGAAGCAGUGAAGUGACUGAAAUACCCCUGCUUAGUUGCUCAAUUAGUAGGUUAAUCGAAUUUACAUGGUGGCGCCGCCGCGGCGUUCCUCAAUUGGUAACGCAAAAUAAGUAUAGGUAUCAAAUUAGUCAAAACAAUUAUAUUGGGACGAAAUUGACACUAUAAAAAAGUAUAGGGACGAAAUUGGCCAUUUUCCCGUAUUAAAAAAUACAGGGAUUGUUCUGCAAAUUCGUCACCAGAUCACUUAUGGAAUUGGGCCCCUGGGCCAUUCUUUAUUUCUUCUUCGGGCUAAAAUCAACUCAGCCCAAUUAAAGUCCAAAGGAAAAUCAGCAGGGCAACCCACUUUUAUUUACCAAUUAAACUCAAUCAAAUUAAUCAAAACCCAAUCCAAAAAUCCAACCCAAAGUGUUGGUUUUUCACCUCCUAAACCCAAGUCAAAAACUCAGAAAAUAAGCCAACAACCCAUUUCUAAAACUCAAGCAAAAUAGGCCAGAUUUUUAUAUCAAAUUCCAACCAAACAAACCUCAAUCCGACCCUCCAACUAUUUUUACUAAACCCAAUAAUAUAAAAAUUUAUUAAGAACUGAUUAUACUCUAAAUCCCAGAAAUUAUUUGCUCAAAAUUGGAUUUGAAAUAUGAAAAAAAGGAUUAGAUCUCAAUGGGGGCAGAAAUGGUUCGAUUGUAAAAGUUUUCGAUUCAUAGUGAAAUUAUAUAAAAGUUGAAGGACAAAAAUAAAAUUUAAAAAAGAAAAGGGAAAAUCGCCAAUUUAGUCCUUAAACUUUUUUUUUCCGUCAAUUUAGUCCCUAUACAUUAUUUAUAGCCAAUUUAAUCCCUAAACUUAUAUUUCGAUUCCAAUCAAGGAGCUUAGCGGCGGCGCCACCGCAUAAUUUCCAUCGGCUUCCAAAUCUAGGAACCCAAAAGGGGUAUUUUAGGGACUUCCAUAUUUUUCAUAUUUCUCUUUGACUUUCAUCUUAUGAUACUACUACUGCUGUGGAAGAAGUGGUGCUACCGGAGGAGGAGGAGGAGCCAAGAGGAACACUACUACUGCUGCUGCUGCUACUACCAGUACUACUAGGAGUAGUGGAGGUAUUGGAGGAAGUGGAAAGGAGACCGGUGCUGUUGAAGCCAAUGUAGUAGGCCGAGGAGUCAUCCGGCUUGAAGAGGCCGUAGUUCCUCUCGGAGGUUGGGCUGGACUUCUGUUCUCGUUGAAAAGGGCGAAGACAUAGAUGUUCAAGUCGGCGUUGGGCCUCAUGGGCGUCCCCUUCUUCCCGCACACCAGCUUGUUGAUGAGGUUGCCGUUGUACUUCUUGGCAUUCUCCGGAGUGGCUCCGGCCUCGUCGGUGUCCCCCUUGGAGGGCCAGCCGGUCUCGAAAAUACCCUUUUGAAGAACGCAGCUUGCAUGUAAAUUUUUUUUUUUUUUAAGUAAUUUGUUAAAUAGCCUGCUUGAAACCCGCUUGCGGGUUUCCUGAGUGAAUAGACGAAAAUACCCUUUUGAAGAACGCAGCUUGCAUGUAAAUUUUUUUUUUUUUUAAGUAAUUUGUUAAAUAGCCUGCCUGAAACCCGCUUGCGGGUUUCCCCCUUAUGUAAAAUGACUAAAAGCUGCGUUUCUGUUCUAUUUAUAUCAAACACAUACUCUCAAACCCUCACCUGAAGGGUGAGGAUGAGAGGGGAGGUUUGCUGGGCAUCCUAGGGCCCUCCGAUGGGCAUGUGCAACUCAACGCAGCUUGCAUGUAAAAAAAUUUUUUUUUUUAAGUAAUUUGUUAAAUAGCCUGAAACCCGCUUGCGGGUUUCCUAUAGCGGAAUCCUGAAGGAAUUCAACUUUGCAAAGCAUUCGUAGUUGGUGCGCCCAUAAUCUAAGCCGGCCCUUCUUCGCUGAGCACCAGACAAAUUGUAUGUGGUGCGUAAUGAUGAGUAAGGCUUUGGAUAUACUAUAUAUUAGAACUAUACAUUAUACAAUGCCAAAGCAGCUAUGGCACGCACCCCAUUGAUCUUCUUCCCAGCACUUUAACAAGCUUUUGAAGGAGAUAACUCUGCAUAAUUCAUCCCGAUGAUGAGGAGGCAAAGAUGGAAAUUCUUUAAUUUUUUUACAAAGUUUCGAGGAAAUUGGGGUUUAUUAUAAUUGUUUACACUGGAAUAAAUACAGUAGGGGUGGCGGGAUCGACGAUCCCGGAGUUGGGCUGGAAAAGGACGAACUCCAGAGGGACCUGCUUGGGGUUGGCCUUGUAGGCGAAGUAGGGGUAGGCAUUGAUGAGGAAAGGGGAGCCGGUCUUGAGAUGGAAGUUGAGGAUGGCAGUCAAGCAGGGGGUGAGGUCCGGGUGGAACCUGCAGGCGAAGGGGAGGUAGGAGGUCUGGAGGACGGCGAGGGAGUGGGCAGUGGUGAUGGAGACCUUGUCCUGGAGGUUGAGGGAGCAGAGGACGGAGUAGACGCUCUGCAUAGCCCGGAGUAGACGCUCUGCAUAGCCCGGAGUAGACGCUCUGAUGUGAUAGAGGAGAGGGAGGUGUCGUUGAAGGUGAAAACCAUAUAGAAAUAAGAUGAAAGUCAAAGGGAAAUAUGAAAAAUAUGGAAGUCCCUAAAAUACCCCUUCUGGGUUCCUAGAUCUGGAAGCCGAUGGAAAUUAUGAGGUGGCGCCGCCGCUAAGUUCCUUGAUUGGAAUCGAAAUAUAAGUUUAGGGAUUAAAUUGGCUAUAAAUAAUGUAUAGGGACUAAAUUGACGGAAAAAAAAAGUUUAGGGACUAAAUUGGCGAUUUUCCCAAAAGAAAACUCAUGCAAAUCAGAAUCGAAGCGUUCUUCUUCUUUUUUUUCUGCAAUUUCAGAAACUUCAUCAGCUGACAGCCAUAGUUGCCAGCGGUGACAGAUGACCACCAGUCGCCGAUCACCGGCGAAUUUUCGAUCACCAAAAAUUAUCAAAAUACACAUCUCCACUCGAUUUUUUGUAUACAUUCCAUUUUCGAAGUUAUUUUUUACAAAAAAAGACCCGAAGGUGGCCAAAAAGCAAAAGACAGAUCAGUUUUUAUUUUUUCAAAACACCAUAUCUUUCACUAAAAAUUAUGAAAAUUAUACCAUAACACUCCUUACAACUUCUACAAUACAACUAUGCUUUUAAUUUGACAAGAAAACAGCAUAAGAGGGCUAAAAUAAAGCAAAACAGUCCCCUAAAAUUUGUUUUUUCUAUUUUGACAUUUUUUCAAACAUUUAGCAUGCUUAUACAAAUUUUAUUUCUUUUCCCCUUAAUCUGGUUCAUAACUUGUCUAACAACACAAUAAUAAUAAGAUCAGCAAGAGAAAAAAAACACAAGCAGCCAAACAUACAUUUAAUCUAAUUAAUUAAGAAAAAAGAAAAAACUGGAAAAAUAAAAGAAAGAAAUACCUCAACAAAAUUUGUAUUCUCUAGCUGAAGUUUUGAUGCAAUUUCUAGUUCCAAUUGUGCAGUUGCCGCCUCCCUUUUUGUUGUGCAAGCGUGUUGAAUUUUUUUGGGAAGAGAGGAGGGAGCUUUUUUUUUUCUUCUUCUCCUACAUUUUCUUCUGUCGUCUGGAAGUCGAGAGAGUUGAGAGAGUGAGGGUCUCUCUGCAAAAUUUUCUCAUUCUUCUGUCCGUUGAGCCAGCCGAGAGAGGGAGAGAGAGUUUUUCUCUUGCUGUCUUCUCUGUUUCUUUUGCUCUCUGGAAGUCGAGAGAGGGAGAGAAGGUGCCGAGAGGGAGAAGGAAUUUUUUUCUUUUUGCUCUG